GGAGGCGUGCGAGCGCCUGGUGGCCUCCCCGGCCUUCAAAGCCGACGGUCCCGAGGACCUCGGGACGGCGGGUUCGAUUCCCGUACGCCUCCGCCA
rnacentral:tRNA from 1 species